AUACAACGUGCCAAGAGGUUUCGUCAUCGUCAUGUGCCGCUCACGUAAGUUUUGUAAGUUCGCGCUUCUCCAGAUGCUCCAUUGAAAUGGUUCGGGUAAUUGGGCUGCCCAUGAGUUUUCUGCUUUGGAAUGGAUGCCGUACCAGUUUCUUUCCUUUCCCGACUCUCCCAGCUGCAUUGUCCGGAGGUAACAGCAGACCUUUCUCAAGAAUGGUAAUUGGCGUGAUAUAUCAUGGCUAUCUCUUCCGCUGGCGUCCGAGUUCCAAGACGGGUUGGCUGUGCCCCUUUUUCCUAGGGUUUUCUCAUCUGCUUUCUCAUUUCGAUUUUCUCAAAUUGGUUGUGCCCUUGAACCGGCUCCCCUUUUUGAGCUCCUUCCUCUCACCGCCUUCUCUGGCCAGCUUGGUUGCGAACUUGGUUACAUCUUCUUAGUGCUAUUUUCCGGUCUCGCCGAGCUUCUUUUACUGCAGGCACUCAACAAUAGUUAUUGCUAUCGGGACUAUUCGCAUAUCUGAGGUCAACAGAUCUACACUUGAGUGGACCACACUGCUUUAUGUUUUCUAGGUUGGUCGUGUGAAAAUUGCCCACACGGGGACACUGAGAGUUGGCAAGGACUUCAAAUUUAAAACUGGUUAUGAUUCAGAUGUGCAACUAGGGUGGACAUCUCUUUGGAUUGAAGAGGAAGAUGGCAAAGCUAAUAUAGCUCCCAUGAAGAUGAAAGUUUAGUUCACGCUCCAGGUGCCCCCCAAGAUGAUAUCAAAUCCUCUGCUUUGACGUUCGGUGUGAAAAAGAGAUGGGACAUAUGACUUAAAAGGUUUCACAGUGAUGAUCUCUUCUUUUUUCACUGCAAUGAUGAACGUGGUGUAUCCGAAAAAAAGAAGAAGAUGAACAUGGUGUAUCAAGUGAUAGUGCAGGCUUGAGUAUAGGUGUUGUAAUCAAUAUUGCUAUGCCAAAUAGGUCACCAUAUUGGGUAGAAGAUUACCUUUAUUAUGA